rnacentral:tRNA from 1 species
GGACAGGUAGCUGAGAUGGAUUAGCAGCGGACUGAAAAUCCGCAGAGGGUGGUUCGAUUCCACUCCUGUCCA